UAAGGAAUAUUGGGCAAUGCCCGAAAGGGUGACCCAGCAACGCCGCGUGGAGGAUGAAGGUCGUAAGAUUGUAAACUCCUGUUAGAGGGGAAGAAUAACUAAGUUUGGAGCUUAGUAUGACUGUACCCUCAGAGAAAGCCCCGGCUAACUACGUGCCAGCAGCCGCGGUAAUACGUAGGGGGCAAGCGUUGUCCGGAUUUACUGGGUGUAAAGGGCGCGCAGGCGGAAUGGAAAGUCAGUGGUGAAAUCCUACAGCUUAACUGUAGAACUGCCUUUGAUACUUUCAUUCUUGAGUUCGGGAGAGAGAGACGGAAUUCCAGGUGUAGUGGUGAAAUACGUAGAUAUCUGGAAGAACACCAGUUGCGAAGGCGGUCUCUUGGUCCGAUACUGACGCUGAGGCGCGAAAGCGUGGGGAGCAAACA
rnacentral:rRNA from 1 species